GACUCCGUAGCUCAGUGGGAGAGCGCCACCUUGACAGGGUGGAAGUCGUUGGUUCAAGUCCAAUCGGAGUCA
rnacentral:tRNA from 2 species